AUAUUUUUAGACAGCUUCUUUUAAAAACUUUCUAAGCAGAGUUAUGUUCUAGGUGUAUAGAUGAUUCUAUAACUUAUUAGUGUGUAUGCUGCUAAAACUGAAUAUACCUCAGGUCAUAUUUUUGCCUUUGGAGAGUCCAGAGCCCCAGCAAUCGCCAACAUGGUUCUUGGGCUAAAGGAAAUUCAAAUUCGGGGAGAAAUUCGUACAAAUGUUGAUUAGAUCAUUGAUCUAUUACAUGCUUCAGAUUAUAAGGACAAUAAAAUACAUACAGGCUGGUUGGAUAGUAGAAUAACAAUGCGUGUUAGAGCAGAAAGGCCACCUUGGUAUCUCUCUGUUGUUGGUGGGGCUCUUUACAAAGCAUCCACUAGCAGUGCAGCUAUGGUUUCGGAGUAUGUUGGUUAUCUUGAAAAAGGGCAAAUCCCUCCUAAGGCACUGUGCUUUAGAGACCUGUUUUAGGACUGAGUUUAAUUGGGAACUUCAAACACUCCUUAGGUUAGGACUUUGGUUCUAUACCUGUUCCACUGUUCAAAUAUGCAAAGAUAUUUUCUAUUAAACAAAAUUUAAUAAGGCACAAUAAAUUAAAAAAAUAUAUAGUAAAUUGUGUAAAUCACGUAACUGGAAUAUAUAUUCAUUUGAAGGUUGGAUGCUAAUGAAUGAGAUUGUUUAGAAACCUCAAAUAUGUUCUCAUCUGCUUCAAAGCAUGGGCUGAAUAAUCAGGUGAUCAAGGUUAAAAACUGCAGUUUUCGAUUUGCAGCUCUUUAUGCUCAGUUGCUCUUCUUAGCAGGAUGAUGAAUUGCAGGCAUUAUAUCUUUUUUUUUUUUUUCGUUUCUGAGGCUAUGAGCUAGUUUGUCAAGUUGAUUGCGCUAAGUAAAUCUUUCUUGGUGCAGUCGUUUUAAGUCUCUUUUUUACACUUGUUUCUGGUUUAGUUUACCAUGCAAACUUCAAAGACUUCAAAGUAGAGCUGGUUAUGUCUUAAGUUUGCUUAAUGUCCAAUUUGGGUGGGGUGUCAUCUGGCUACAACAGACUUCAUCCAUUUAUUAUCAUCUUUGUAAGAAAAUAACAAUAAAAAUAGGGCAGCCUAGUGCAACUGUGCAUG